rnacentral:lncRNA from 1 species
UAGAAAGAGUACUUAUUCUUAAUCUAAGGAUCAUCAAUUUGAGCUUAGAUUAAGAAUAUAGUGACUUCCCUUUCUAUACAUUUUGGCGCCAAUAAUUUAAUAGCUUUAGACGCAAUGAUAUUUGUGGCACAUAAUAUAAUAUUAAACUGCAAUGAUAUAAAGUUAGUAAAUUAGCUGUUACAGACAGGCAUAGAUAAAAUUAAAAUCUUUUUCUACCAUUGCUCUUAAUGCGCGUAUUCUUCAGUGUAAUGGUUGUAGACUGCAAAGGGCGGCCAUUGUUUCUGUUGCGAAGCACUGGACAGUAUGUUCUGCAAUAUAAAAAAAGAGGAUUAUCCAGGGAGGGGAAUUUGAUGAGCUUGGUAUAACGUUAUACAUUGGUGAAAUUGCACGAGAAUGGCUUGGAUUCGGCAGUAUGGGAGAUUGGAGGGGUGAACGACUUAUUUGGGAGAAAUCUGGUGAUACAUUACAAGAACUGGAAGUCAUCAAAGGAGCUUCAGCCUUAACAGGUUACACUCUGGGUUUGUUGCACGCGUCUGUGUAGCCUAACUUCAGGCUGCAGCUGAA